GCCCAGGUGGUGAAAUUGGCAGACACACAAGAUUUAGGUUCUUGUACCGUAACUGGUGUGCAGGUUCGAGUCCUGUCCUGGGCA
rnacentral:tRNA from 1 species